ensembl:miRNA cja-mir-302a cja-mir-302a
GGCUCCCCACCACUUAAACGUGGAUGUACUUGCUUUGAAACGAAAGAAGUAAGUGCUUCCAUGUUUUGGUGAUGGUAAGUC